AAAGGAACAAAGCAGGGUAUAUUAACAAAACUGUUAAAGUCCAUAGGAGAGGACGGCCUGAGCUUAAAUAUGCCCGGUAACCCCUCCCAAAUCCAUGCUCCGCCUUAAAAUUUGUGGUCAGGGACAAAGGCUGACAAAAGAGUGCAACAUCUGUUCUAGUGUACCGAAACCGACGUUCGGGUACGGCUGUAAAUAAAGAAUGCAAAAUGUUUUUUAAAAAUGCAACACUUUACUACGUAUAACAAUUACAUAACUAAAUCCUUAAAUUCUUGUCUUAAUUCCAUCUUGGGUUGAGGGAUAUAUCCAUUAUACACAGCAGAUUUUCAUUGUUCUAGUCUUUCAAUUUUAUGUAUUGGAAGGUUUUUACUAGAUCCUGCCGAGGCUGUUCCAAUCCGAAAUUAAUGUUCUGAAAGGGAUGAAGGGCAGCAGCCAAGUCUUACAAAAAGUGUCCUGAUAACUUAUGUUGUGAGUGGGUUACAGUGUAAUUAACAGAGGUGUAUUCCCAAGAUGAUCUGAAAGUGAAUGGCAAAAGUGAUCAAGUAUUUUUACUGGGUACCUUUAUUGUCGGUAGGAUUUCAGUUGUAUGUCUGUAGGUGGGCCAAUUUG